rnacentral:lncRNA from 1 species
UAGAAGAAAGAUGUAAAGUAUAGUCUUUCAUACCACAUAGAGCUAAUAGAAUAAUAAAAAGAAAAAACUCUUGUUUCAAGUACGGCCUCAAAAGUUGAUACUUAUCUAUCAUAGCAAAUAAAGACUUCUAUUUCUACAGUGAGAGAACAAGUGAGUAUAGAGAUACUUAUGCCUCUUCUCGAAAGUCCUUUGAUAUCCUCAACAAUAAUGCCCAAGUACCUCUUAGGAUCAAAUAUAGAAGUUGUGAUAAAGCUCCCUCUCAUCCCUCU